GGUGGUAGAGGGGACAAACAUCCCAAUCCAAUCCCUCCAACAAACAAUAACCAUCCUGCAGUCAAGCCACCCCACAUGUGGUUUGUACUGACUCUUGUGUGCAAAACUCGCCCAAGAUACUAGUAGCGAGAACAAGAUAUCCGGUUGAUCGCCAACACAACCAACACAACCAUCCUACUUGUUAUAUAACAACACCAUCUCUGGUGCGGUGUCUUGCUUCUUAGCAGAAUUUGCACAAGGGCCUGGGGUUGUGGUUUCCGACGUAGGUACUCCAUCCAUCUAUCUGACCCUCUCUCUCUCCAACAUAUCAUAGUAUUUAAAAACCAAGGGCCGCACUGUACUCUGCAUAACGUCCCUUUGUUGGCAAACAGAGAAAAAAUAUCUCCGAAGCAGCACAACCUAAACGAUGUGGUGGCAUGUAGUACAUGUCCCGUUCUCCAGCUUUUCGUAAGCUUUUGUCUCACAUCAUCUCAUGCAAACGUGCAAUCGCCAUUCCAACGCCCAUGCCCAAUCCGAAACCUGCAUUCAUAAUAGACCUGUGCGAGUAAGCUGAGGAGAUGGGGUUUCGGAGGAGACCAAAUUUUGCUGGGACCACUAUAGAAAACUUAACCUAAAAUCGAAAA
rnacentral:sRNA from 2 species